GAUGAGACACUUAGGACGACUGAACCACGUUGCUCUUUUCCCCAACGCAACAUGAUUUUUUGGGGGGCCAAUUCCAUGACCAGGCGGGGACGUAUGUAUGUGUAACGUGGUGCCUUGACUUACAACUUUGGGGGCACCGAUGAAGAGUGGACAUUCUACCUGCGGGCCAGCACGGUGUUAAAGCAAGAACAAGCAACCUUCAGCGCUGAUGACAAGAUAAGCAGCAAGACAGGCGUGAAAUAUGAUCUUCGGCCGUCUCUGAUGAACGGCAGCAUUGACGGACUGUAAAUUGGAAGGCUUGCUUCAUCUUGUCUAUGGUCAACGGCGGUAUUAACGGACAAGGAAAGAAAGCCUACUUUGGCUCAUCUUGUGUAAGUAUAUAGAGGGUUCCCUAAAAGUCACAAAACACGUCCUUUUUUUAAAAUUUCAUUUCAGGUAUCAUUCAGACAGAUGUAAGACCAUCAGUAUUUGACAGCUCAAACUUUGUGGUUUUUGUAAGUAUAUCAUUCCUUUAUUCAUAGUUUGUCAAUUCACGUUGAAUCAGCAUUGCAAAACUGCUUUUGUUUUUCUGUCCUCAACUACAGUUCAGUGCCAGUUUGAGAAGCUUUAUGGCCGUCAAAUGCCUGUGUAGUACAAAUUAGGGUAUCCAUGGCAAGUUUCUAGAAACACGAUUUCUUCUUGACAAACUAUGCAGUAGUAGGCCUGCUACUACUGAUAAAAAUACCAAUUUCCUAGAGCAGGUGUUCACGCAAAGUUAGUUAGGCUGCACUAGAACUCUGCAUCCACAAAAGCUCAAUUCAUCGCAUGCUUCGGAGAGUGAUAAUGCUUUAUCCAUAUCGACUUCAGGUUAUUGGGUAUCAUAAUCUUUUGUUUGAAGCCUUUGAACAACCGGAAGUCCAUACAGGUAAAUAAUUUUUUUUUAAAGCAUCGGCUGAAUCGAGCGUUUGUUGAUGCUGAGUUCCAGUGCACCACUCUGGAUUGACUUUCCCAGGCUUUGCAAGAACGCCUGCUCUAGCAGUUCUGUGUUUUUUUGUUUUGUCUCUCCCCUCCCCCCAGACAGUCAGAAAAACCUAUUGCCAGGUAGAAAUUGGCAAUCCACGGGCAAAGGAAUGACAUGCUUAUAAAAACUGAAAAGCGUAAGCUGCCAUAUGCUGAUGCCUUCACGUCUGUCUGAAUGAUACCUGAAACAAAAUAGAAAGUGUAGUGACAUUUGGGACUAACUGUUUUAUAAGGUGUUAAGUAAAAAUGGGGUCAGACGGUCAUGUUGUCCUGAACUGUAA